rnacentral:lncRNA from 1 species
ACCUGAAUACCAACAAGGUGUUAGAGAUUUUAUAAGAUUUGCAUAAAAAAGGGUUGAUGAUCCCAAUAGAAUCAAAUAUCCUUAUCGGAGAUGUCACAAUAACUAUUUCCAGCCUAUAGAUACAGUAUUGGAGCACUCGUUGAAUUGGGGUAUGGAUCCAAAAUAUACUAUUUGAGAUUUUUAUGGAGAAUGUAGACCUACUAAUAUAAGAGACCAA